AGGACGAACGCUGGCGGCGUGCCUAACACAUGCAAGUCGAACGGGACCAGGGGCAACUCUGGUUCAGUGGCGGACGGGUGCGUAACACGUGAGGAACAUGACCUUCGGCGGGGGAUAGCCGGCCCAACGGCCGGGUAAUACCGCGUACGACCACAUGGGACAUCCCUGAGUGGUGAAAGCAGCAAUGCGCCGAUGGAGUGCCUCGCGGCCUAUCAGCUAGUUGGUGAGGUAACGGCUCACCAAGGCGACGACGGGUAGCUGGUCUGAGGAGGAUCGGGACCAGGCCCACGUAGUUGGGACCUGACGACACCGGCCCAGACCUACCGUACGGGAGGCAGCAGGUAGGGAAUAGUUGGACAAGUGGGCGCGAAGCCUUAGAUACCAGACAA
rnacentral:rRNA from 1 species